GCGUUAACGAACGAGACCUUAACCUGCUAAAUAGUUGAACCUGAAAUUUUCAGGACUUUAACUUCUUAGAGGGACUAUCGGUGUUUAACCGAUGGAAGUUUGAGGCAAUAACAGGUCUGUGAUGCCCUUAGAUGUUCUGGGCCGCACGCGCGCUACACUGAUAAAGUCAACGAGUUAAUCUCCUUCACCGGAAGGUGUGGGUAAUCUUUUGAAACUUUAUCGUGCUGGGGAUAGAGCAUUGCAACUAUUGCUCUUAAACGAGGAAUCCCUAGUAAGCGCAAGUCAUCAGCUUGCGUUGAUUACGUCCCUGCCCUUUGUACACACCGCCCGUCGCUAAUACCGAUUGAAUGGCUU
rnacentral:rRNA from 1 species